GACAGAGGGUGCAAACGUUGUUCGGAAUUACUGGGCGUAAAGCGUGUGUAGGCUGCUCAGCAAGUCGGAUGUGAAAGCCCUGGGCUUAACCUAGGAAGUGCAUUCGAAACUUCUGAGCUUGAGUUCUGGAGAGGAAGGCGGAAUUCUCGGUGUAGAGGUGAAAUUCGUAGAUAUCGAGAGGAACACCGGUGGCGAAGGCGGCCUUCUGGACAGUGACUGACGCUGAGACGCGAAAGCGUGGGGAGCAAACAGG
rnacentral:rRNA from 1 species